rfam:Acyrthosiphon pisum strain LSR1 Contig9103, whole genome shotgun sequence.
CCCGCCGUAUUUAAUCAUAUUAAUAAGCGGAGGAAAAGAAAACAACCGUGAUUCCCUUAGUAGCGGCGAGCGAACCGGGAAAAGCCCAUCGCCGAAUCUCGCCGCGCACUUUUGUGUCGCGGCACGUAUGAGAUUUGUGGCGUACGGGCCGGCCUCGUUGCCGGGGCGCACGUGACGGUCCAAGUCUCGCUUGAACGGGGCCAUGGCCCGCAGAUGGUGCCAGGCCAGUAGAGGCCGUCACAGCGUUCCGGGAUCGGACCUCGCCUUCGAGUCGGGUUGCUUGAGAGUGCAGCCCGAAGCGGGUGGUAAACUCCAUCUAAGGCUAAAUACGGCCACGAGACCGAUAGUUUACAAGUACCGUGAGGGAAAGUUGAAAAGAACUUUGAAGAGAGAGUUCAUAAGAACGUGAAACCGCUCGGUUGUAAACGGACAGAGCUCGCGAAUCCCCGCCGGGCGAAUUCACGGUCGGUCUAACCGCCGGCCGGAUCUUUCGCUCGGUUAGCGGACGUCGCGACCCGUUGGGCGCCGGCCGAAUGGCCCGGGUGACGUUCGUCGCGUCGGUCGCGUUUCGGCGUGACCGUUCGCGCCGAGCCCCGGUGCUCAUGGUCGGCUCGCCCGAUGGCAAGAACCGUCAACGCGGCCCCGUCGCUGGCGGGGUCCCGUCGGUCGGCGACGUGUUUCGAGCUACUUUCCGACCCGUCUUGAAACACGGACCAAGGAGUCUAACGUGUGCGCGAGUCAACGGUGAUCUUACGAAAAACCACGUUUGGCGCAAUGAAAGUGAACCGUUUACGGUGCGGACGAUGGCCUAGCGACCGAACCCACCGGCGUUCAAAGUCGCGCUGGUCCGCAGUCCGGGGGCGUCUCCGCCAAGUCGACUUCGGCCGGCUGGGGGCGCACCCUUAGCGCACACGUUGGUACCCGAAAGAUGGUGAACUAUGCCUGGCCAGGAUGAAGUCAGGGGAAACCCUGAUGGAGGUCCGCAGCGAUUCUGACGUGAAAAUCGAUCGUCUGAGCUGGGUAUAGGGGCGAAAGACUAAUCGAACCAUCUAGUAGCUGGUUCCAUCCGAAGUUUCCCUCAGGAUAGCUGGCGCCGAUGUGUCCCGCCCGUUCGCGGGCGUACGGACGCCGGUGGGACUCCGCGCUGUACGGCGCGUUAACAACACGCUCGUAACACGGAGGAUGUCUCAUACGCGAAAGCGAAUGAUUAGAGGACAUUGGGGCCGAAACGACCUCAACCUAUUCUCAAACUAUAAAUGAGUGAGAUCGCCGGCUUUACCUGGUACACCGCGUGAACCGCGUGCGAAGCCGGCGACGGAACCCUAGGCGCUUAGUGGGCCAUUUUUGUUAAGCAGAACUGCCGCUGCGGGAUGAACCGAACGCCGAGUUAAGGCGCCGAAAUCGACGCGUAUUCAGAGACCAUGAAAGGCGUUGGUUGCUGAUGACAGCAGGACGGUGGCCAUGGAAUUCGGAAUCUGCUAAGGAGUGUGUAACAACUCACCUGCCGAAGCAACUAGCUCUGAAAAUGGAUGGCGCUGGAGCGUUGUGCCUAUACUCGGCCGUCGACGGCAUAGUGGGGCCAGUCGUCGCUCGCGGCGGCCGGUCCCGGCAAGCCUCGACAAGUAGGAUGGCGCGGCGGUGUGCGUCGAAGGGCAGGUCGCGAGACCGCCUAGAACCGCCGUCGGUGCAGAUCUUGGUGGUAGUAGCAAAUACUCGAGAGGGGCCCUCGGGGGCUGCCGUGGAGAAGGGUUUCUUGCGAACAGCCGUUGUCCAAGAGCCAGUCGAUCCUAAGCCCGGGGAGAGAUCCUCGUACCACGGGCGAAGGCGUUUUCGAAUCGCCCUUGGGGCGAGAGGGAAUCCGGUUCGUAUUCCGGAACCCGACGCGGAACCGCUCCCUAGUGUUCGGGGCUCUUUUUUCUCGUCUGGGUAACCAGAAUGAACUCGAAGAAGCCGCCGGGGGAUCUGGGUAGAGUUCUCUUUUCUCUGUGAGCGUUGUACGUCCCUGGAAUCCUCUAGCCGGGCAAUAGGGACGCGAGCGCGAAGAGCACAGCUCGUUGCGGCGGUGUCCGUGAUCCCCACGCGGACCUUGAAAAUUCGAGAGAGGGCCACGCGGAGUCUUCGCGUCGGUUCGUACCGAUAUCCGCAGCAGGUCUCCGAGGUGAGCAGCCUCUAGUC